ACCGAAAUAGCUUAAUUGGGAGAGCGUUAAGCUAUAGAUUGAAAGUCCCCUGGUUCGAUCCCGGGUUACGGCA
rnacentral:tRNA from 1 species